rnacentral:rRNA from 1 species
GAUGAACGCUGGCGGCGUGCCUAAUACAUGCAAGUCGAACGACCACACGAGGAGUUUGCUCUUCUGACGUUAGCGGCGGACGGGCGAGUAACACGUGGAUAAGCUACCUAUAAGACUGGGGUAACUUCGGGGAACCAGUGCUACUACCGGCUAAUAUAUUGUACCGCAUGGUUCAAUAGUGAAAGACGGCUUUGGUGUUACUUAUAGACGGAUUCGCGCCGCAUUAGCUAGUUGGUAAGGUAACGGCCUACCAAGGCGACGAUGCGUAGCCGAUCUGAGAGGGUGAUCAGCCACACUGGAACUGAGACACGGUCCAGACUCCUACGGGAGGCAGCAGUGGGGAAUAUUGGGCAAUGGGCGAAAGCCUGACGCAGCAACGCCGCGUGAGUGAAGAAGGUCUUCGGAUUGUAAAGCUCUGUUGUUAGGAAAGAAAAACUGUGUAAGAAACCAGGCACGUCUUGACGGUACCGAAAGAAAAAGCCCCGGCUAACUACGUG